rnacentral:misc_RNA from 1 species
UAAACCCCCUCACAUUUAUUGUGGUAUUGGCUGAAGUGGUGGGUAUUGUGCCCAACAGUCACUAUGCCGAAAUGUAUUGCGUGAAGGACUUAUACCAGUAACUGACUUUGUAAGUGUCAUUGAGGAUACAAAUCAGUCAGGAGUUAGUAGAGUUGCGCAUUCCUGGACCCCCAUCCAGUGUAAAGUCUUG